GCGCCCGCUAGGAUAGGUGCAGGCUUUCGUAAAGCCCGCGAUCCUGGUUCAAUUCCAGGCGGGCGCACCA
rnacentral:tRNA from 1 species